rnacentral:rRNA from 1 species
CUCUGCGAAGAGCGCAGCUUACAACGCGACCCCUGGUCAGGCGGGGCUACCCGCUGAAUUUAAGCAUAUCAAUAAGCGGAGG